UAAUAUGUUACUCCUCUUGAUUUUGAAGUUCUUUGAUCCCAGUUUCUUCAACUUUUUGUAAAUUAAGCUUUCAUUUCCUGCUUCCAUCAUGUUAAGCUGUGUUUGAUUGUUUUGUGCUCAUCAUGUUAAGCUGUGUUUGAUUGUUUUGCAGUGUUACUUGAUGUAUAUAUCUCCUCACUGUUAUAAAUUCCUUCAUUGAUAAUAUUUUAAGUUCUUGCUUUCUUAUCAUCUUGUACUUUGUUCAAGAGUUGUUGCAGUUGGGAGCUCCUGAGAUUGUUCCAGAUUAUCCAAUUCUUUCUGUUGACGACCUAGCAGAUCAAAUAGCCGAGGUUCUCAACUUUUUUGGUCUUAGUGCAGUAAUGUGCAUGGGAGUAGCUGCCGGAGCUUACAUUCUUACCUUAUUUGCU